CCUACGGGUAGCUGCAGUGAGGAAUAUUGGUCAAUGGACGAGAGUCUGCACCAGCCAAGUAGCGUGAAGGAUGACUGCCCUAUGGGUUGUAAACUUCUUUUAUAAAGGAAUAAAACGAGGCACGUGUGCGUUUUUGCAUGUACUUUAUGAAUAAGGAUCGGCUAACUUCGUGCCAGCAGCCGCGGUAAUACGGAGGAUCCGAGCGUUAUCCGGAUUUAUUGGGUUUAAAGGGCGCGUAGAUGGGUUGUUAAGUCAGUUGGGAAAGUUUGCGGCUCAACCGUAAAAUUGCAAUUGAUACUGGCAGUCUUGAGUACAGUUGAGGUAGGCGGAAUUCGUGGUGUAGCGGUGAAAUGCUUAGAUAUCACGAAGAACCCCGAUUGCGAAGGCAGCUUACUAAACUGUGACUGACAUUGAUGCUCGAAAGUGUGGGUAUCAAACAGGAUUAGAUACCCGAGUAGUC
rnacentral:rRNA from 1 species